rnacentral:tRNA from 1 species
GUGGGCGAGCCAACCGGAUAGGCGGCCGGUCUCCAAAACCGGCGAGAAGCAGGUUCGAGUCCUGCCGCCCAUG